rnacentral:rRNA from 1 species
UACGAAGGGGGCUAGCGUUGCUCGGAAUGACUGGGCGUAAAGGGCGCGUAGGCGGACGGCUUUGUCGGGCGUGAAAUUCCAGGGCUUAACCUUGGGGCUGCGUUCGAGACGGGUUGUCUAGAGUUUGGAAGAGGGUCGUGGAAUUCCCAGUGUAGAGGUGAAAUUCGUAGAUAUUGGGAAGAACACCCGUGGCGAAGGCGGUUCUCUGGGACGGUACUGACGCUGAGACGCGAAAGCGUGGGGAGCGAACAGG